UACGGAGGGUGCAAGCGUUAAUCGGAAUUACUGGGCGUAAAGCGCACGCAGGUGGCUGAGUCAGUCGAUUGUGAAAGCCCUGGGCUUAACCUGGGAAUUGCAGUCGAUACUACUCAGCUAGAGUAUGGGAGAGGGUAGUGGAAUUCCCGGUGUAGCGGUGAAAUGCGUAGAUAUCGGGAGGAACAUCAAUGGCGAAGGCGGCUACCUGGCCCAAUACUGACGCUGAGGAGCGAAAGCGUGGGGAGCGAACAGG
rnacentral:rRNA from 1 species